CCCUAGCCCCGAUUGUAGCGGAAAUCCUUUUUUGAAAAAAAAGAUUGCAGUGGAAAGCGGGAAAUAGC
rfam:Chryseobacterium soli strain DSM 19298 Contig09, whole genome shotgun sequence.